CGGGAAAUGGCUGGGAAAAUUUUGUUAUCAUUUCUCAUUUUGGAAAAAUUGUUUUUCUUUCGUUGGAAAUUUAGGAAAAAUGAAAAGCUGCAUAUUUUCUUAUUGAUUUGAAGUUUAAUUAUGUAAUUAAUCAUCUUUCCGAUGGAAUUCACCGUUAUUUGCGUUAUUCGAUUUAGGAAUAUAUUAUUUCAUUUCAUAUUCUCCAUUCUAGCUUAGUUCAAUCAUCAUGUAACAGUUCUCGAACGUUGCGAUUGAAAAUAUGUAAAUUUUGGCAUAAAUUAGGAACGGUGGAAGGUUAUUCGGACGUGGAUCUGGACCCCAUAUGAUUUAAAGGUGCUACGUGGAAUUUGGAAUCGGUUUUGGAGAAGACGAUUCGUAAGUGGGCGAUGGUUCUGGUAAAAUUCAUUCGUAAUGGCUACCUAUCGUUAAACUCGACGAAAGUUUACGUUAAUUGAUCUUCGUAGUUACCUUAAUUCGUAAUUUAAUCGUUAAAGUCAUUUUCAAACUGUUAUUAUUAUUCCAAGACUGAAUAAAAAAUCAUGAUCGGC